AGGCGCGUAGCUCAGCUGGUUAGAGCACCACCGUGACAUGGUGGGGGUCGUUGGUUCGAGUCCAAUCGCGCCUACCA
rnacentral:tRNA from 1 species